rnacentral:rRNA from 1 species
AGAGUUUGAUCCUGGCUCAGGAUGAACGCUAGCUACAGGCUUAACACAUGCAAGUCGAGGGGCAGCAUGUUGGUUGCUUGCAACCAAUGAUGGCGACCGGCGCACGGGUGAGUAACGCGUAUCCAACCUGCCCACCACUUGGGGAUAACCUUGCGAAAGUAAGACUAAUACCCAAUGAUAUCUCUAGAAGACAUCUGAAAGAGAUUAAAGAUUUAUCGGUGAUGGAUGGGGAUGCGUCUGAUUAGCUUGUUGGCGGGGUAACGGCCACAAGGCGACGAUCAGUAGGGGUUCUGAGAGGAAGGUCCCCACAUUGGAACUGAGACACGGUCCAAACUCCUACGGGAGCA